rnacentral:misc_RNA from 1 species
GAUGAAGAACGUAGCGAAAUGCGAUAAGUAAUGUGAAUUGCAGAAUUCAGUGAAUCAUCGAAUCUUUGAACGCACCUUGCGCUCCUUGGUAUUCCGAGGAGCAUGCCUGUUUGAGUGUCAUUAAUAUAUCAACCUCUUCAGCUCAUGCUUGUUGAGUGUUGGAUGGUGGGGGUUUGCUGGUGUCUUAUGAAGUCAGCUCCUCUGAAAUGCAUUAGCGGAACAAUUUGUUGACCGUUCAUUGGUGUGAUAAAAAUAUCUACGCUAUUGACAUCAGUCAGUUCAGCUUCUAACAGUCCAUUGACUUGGACAAAUUUUUCAUUAAUGUGACCUCAAAUCAGGUAGGACUACCCGCUGAACUUAAGCAUAUCAAUAAGCGGAGGA